GUAGCGCAAAGGGAUAACGCAUUGGACUUCUAAUCCGAAGGUCGUGGUUUCGAAUACCCCCGAAUUCCA